AAAUAAAUUGGAAAAAAAAAAAAAAAAAGGAAAUGGAAGAAUUUUGUAAACGCGCGUGUGGUUGAUGGAGAACGGGAAAAAAUUGAAAUUGUCAUCCCCUCCCUCUUUCUCUUUUACUUUCCCUUCUCUCUGACCCUCCAAAUUGAGAGUUUUUUACUGUGUCCUUCCAAGAGCUUUCACAGGCGAGCUAGAUGGCGACGACGUCUCAGGGGCACUAGCCAGGGGAGUAGAAGCGGGCGCUGCACUUGACCUUGUCGUUAACGAAGGUGUACCGGAAGUUCUGGGUUACGAACUUGACAUCCUCAACCCCCAAGUGAGAAAAUAGGGUUUCUCACACUUGAAACCCAAUUUGAUGGAGUAGAUUUCUAUUUUCAGCCUGACCACUUAUCUCCCUACGGAUCACAAAAUUCAGCAGUUUACACUAAGAAAUUGAAGUUCCAGCGCCGAGCAGAUCGAAUAUCUUGACGCCACUUUAUCCGAGAAAUCCAAAAUUCUCACCUGCACCGAGCAGGAAAAGGAGACGUUGUUGCAAGAGAACGUGUCGCUUUCUAACACCGUGAAGAAACUCACUCGAGAUGUCUCGAAGUUGGAGGUCUUUAGAAAGAUGCUUAUGCAGUCCCUUAAAGCUCUGUUAUGCAAUUGUAGCAAAAUUCAUCGGUUUACAGUAAUCAGAAGUUCAGAGUUGAAGUUCUUACAACAUAAACAAGAAGAAAAACUGAAAGAACAGAAAACUCCCCAAAACCCAAUGAACAUGGGAGGGAAUAAAUUCAAUUACCAGGUUCGGUUCAGAGGCUAAGAGCCCCUAGCAAGAAACGAAGUUGAGAAGGUAGAUAUAGGAGGUGGAAACAAACAUUUAAAAAGGCAACAAAGUUGAGGUUAAAACUUUCAAGAUCAUCUGGAAGACCUAGGAACUAGCUUAAAACUCAACACCUACAACUAUGUUAACGCUUUUAUCAAGAAAGACCAAGUGAGUUAACUUUAGUUUUUCUGAUUAUAAGUUGACUUGUUUGUGUUUAAUUGUUAUAAGUCCUUUUUUGUUUAUAUUUGUGCAUUUUUCAAAUGAAUUUGAGUUCUAUUAGUAUCUUCUCUUAGUUUUCAUAGGUUUACUUGCUUAGGUUGAUAACUUUGUUUAUGGUUUUCAUUGAGUCGUUUGUGUUUAUAAGUGUAUAACUAUUUGGGUUUUCUAUUUGAUAGGCUUACUUGCUUGGAUUUAUAAGUAAUUUUCUUUUGUGUUGUUAAUGGUUUUUAUUGAGUUCAUUUUACUUACAUAUUUCAUUUUUCUUCUAGAUUUUAAUAUCGUUGGUCUUAAGUAUAAAUUGCCCCAUGUGUCGAUGGAAACUUGAUGAACUUAGAUUAGUUUAUUUUCCUCAUGUUGUACUUUCCAAAUUUGAACCUCUUUGAACAAGGAACCAACAACGAAUAGGUUUUUUCGACAAAUAUCAGUGAGUAAGGACUUCUUUUUUGACGGAUUUCAUUUUUCUUGUUCUCAACGGCGUUGGUGGAGAUAGAAGCCUAGUCAUUCAAGUUAUAUCUCUCACGUUCACAUGAAUAAUUGACUCUCUCUACAAAUUAUGUUUCUGCUUCAGAUAACAAAACAUAUGUUUUGAGCUACAAAAGUUGCAACCACUUGAAAUACAGGUAAGUUAGAGUUCUUGAAGAGUUUGAGUGUGGAUUUAGCCAUUGACCAUACCAAGGAGAACAUCAAAGACUUGUUGUCACUCCUAAACGGUGAGGUGACAUUGCUAUAAGAAGGAUAGCAACAUUGUGUCACUAAACUGUGGGGGUGACACUACCUAAUUUCAGAUUUGUGGUCACUUCAAAUGGGAUUUGAUUACAAUGUUCACAUAACUGUAUGCAUGUCUAUCACUUGGUUAAUUUUUUUUUAUAUGUAGUUUAAUUUGGUCUUUGUCCAAAGUGCAUUUUGCAAAAAAGUGGUUUGGUUCAAAUCUUUCCUUAGACAUGAAAUCUUUCCUUUAUAUUUCUAAUACUUUUGUAGUGAAGCUCAUGGAUAUUUGUUU